rnacentral:rRNA from 1 species
UGAGGAAUAUUGGACAAUGGGCGCAAGCCUGAUCCAGCUAUGCCGCGUGCAGGAAGAAGCAUCUAUGGUGUGUAAACUGCUUUUGUACGGGAAGAAACACUCCUACGUGUAGGAGCUUGACGGUACCGUAAGAAUAAGGAUCGGCUAACUCCGUGCCAGCAGCCGCGGUAAUACGGAGGAUCCAAGCGUUAUCCGGAAUCAUUGGGUUUAAAGGGUCCGUAGGCGGUUUAAUAAGUCAGUGGUGAAAGCCCAUCGCUCAACGAUGGAACGGCCAUUGAUACUGCUAGACUUGAAUUACAAGGAAGUAACUAGAAUAUGUAGUGUAGCGGUGAAAUGCUUAGAUAUUACAUGGAAUACCAAUUGCGAAGGCAGGUUACUACUUGUGGAUUGACGCUGAUGGACGAAAGCGUGGGGAGCGAACA